AACGGCACACUUCCGGUAGUUCCUUAUCACAGAAGACUAGUGUGUAAGUUAGAUAAUGGGGAGAAACAUUGGAAAAAUGUAAUCUGGGGCCCAGUUAUGAAGGAUUUUGUAUACCACACUGCACGAUUUUGUCUUUUAGGCAAUGACAGGCUGGAAGAUUUCAAGAAAGUUAGUAACACUACAACAAUUGUGUUCUAAGAAUACUCCUCUGGUCAUAGAGGAGGAUGGCUUGAUGAAGAGAUCCAGAGAGGGUGCUCGGGGAAAUCCUGGCUGGACACCAGAUUGCUGCACACUCCCCUGCAGCCACUUUGCUUGGAGAACUAACACAGGUCUAUAAAGGGAGCUCUGAGCCCGGGACCCUCAGCAACCUCAACCAGAGUAAUUUGCAAUAGAGGUGGCCAAGGACCUGUAACAGGAAAAACCAGAAGGCAAAACAUGAGCUAUCUAUCAGCCUGUUGUCUGGGAAUAUGCACAUGAGGUGAAAGCCGGUACUAAAGUCAUCUUGGAAGCCAAAAGUCACAAAUUUGGUGGACAUAGGUCAAGCAGUUAAGAGCCAUUAGGGCACUCGCCACCCGAAGAAAACUCCCAUAACAGGAUAAGUUGGAUCACAGAAUGGCGUAGAUGACACAGGUCCCCCAUCAACUUCAAGAAAAUGUCUGUGCAAUGAUGAGGUACUGUGUAAAGCAAACACAAUCCCCAACCCUGCGGCACCUCCUUCCUAAGUAUUAAUCUGACUCCAAGUGCCCCAAGGCUUAGCUAAAGCUAUUAAUGUGCACCUAAGAUGAGACUUUUGUUUUGUCUUGUUCUAUGUCUUAAGAGCUUGGCUUUGUGAACUUUCUGGUCUCUGCCAUCCAGAGGGUGCAUGGACGGGCAUACAUCUUGGCAGCCUGUUGAAUAGACUGGGGUUCCAAGACGC
rnacentral:lncRNA from 1 species